rnacentral:rRNA from 1 species
UACGUAGGGUGCAAGCGUUAAUCGGAAUUACUGGGCGUAAAGCGUGCGCAGGCGGUUAUGCAAGCCAGAUGUGAAAUCCCCGGGCUCAACCUGGGAACUGCAUUUGUGACUGCAUGGCUAGAGUACGGUAGAGGGGGAUGGAAUUCCGCGUGUAGCAGUGAAAUGCGUAGAUAUGCGGAGGAACACCGAUGGCGAAGGCAAUCCCCUGGACCUGUACUGACGCUCAUGCACGAAAGCGUGGGGAGCAAACAGG